GGGGGGAAGGCGGGAGAUGCAACCUCAGCAACAACUUGCCAUAUGAACGGCUUUCAGUCGUGGACUGUGCAUGAGUUAAUCCUAUUUGCUGCUCUCUCUGCAGAGGCAAUGCCUUGCAGCAGUGGUCUCCAACCUUGUUAAGCACAAGAUCCUUUUUUUGAACUUGUCAGUCCAAGAUCUACCUCAAAGGAGGAUACAUUUGUCCCCCCUUCCCUGCCCUGCUCCACUCCUUUGCCGAGGCCGCACCUUUCUCACUCUGAAGGUGGGGUCACUCUGUGAAGAUGGGGUACAGGGGAAGGGGAUGGAGUGACAUCAAUGCCCUUUGUCUGCUCCAUUCUGCACAACAAGUAGGGGGCUCUGGGCAGGAGCAGCUGAAGUGCAGCCACUUGAUAGCCUCCCAGCCAAGCCAGUCAGGAUUACUUGUCAGAGGCUCCAAGAUUUGCUGGUAGAUCCUGAUCUACUGGUUAGUGACCAUUGCCUUGCAGGCACCAGUGGUCUGAGUUUAACUCCUUACUGGCAUGCAUGACAAAGCCUUGACUGGAGGAACCACCCUUCUGGGUGCAAGUCUGAGUCACCGUGAUCCUUAACUGCUGCCUAUUCUUAAUACUGUAAGGACACAGUAUUUUGUUGUGGUAUCUUUUGUAGUUUGUCCACUAUAAAAUGGACCUAAGCCCUCAACUAGCUAUCAGGUAGUGGAAUAUUUAUCGUAUGUAACAGUCCUCUAUUUUCUUAAGCCAUCCAAGUAAAGUGUUGGUUCAAGAAGUGUUGUUUGCUGUUCACUUAAUGUUUACUUGACACAUGUCCAGUGAUUAAAACCUUUUCACUGCUGUUCACAUCAUGAUCUGCUGUGAUUAGUAUCUGUUUGGAUGAGGAUAUGUGUGUUUAAAAACUGGCAUAAGGUGCAGACAUCACUUAGGUGUAAGGCUGAAUAAAGGUAGUAGGUAUUACUAAUGCAAAUAAUUGUUGCUGCCAAUGUGUGAUUUGUAUUGCUGUAGUUUUAGGACGAAAAAAAUCACUGUGUAAAUAUAUGUUCUUAUUUCCUUAAGAAUUGUUCUGACCAGAUCUGCCGUUCCAGCUUGGAUUCUGGAUGUUCAUAUUGCCUAUUUGUUCAGGAAGAAGCAGUAAUUCCAUUAAGUCUAAACUGCUUAUAGAAGAAAGGAUUUGGCAACUUGGAAGUGAAUUGCAAGAAGGUUGGAAGGGCCCAGAGCUGUAAACUGAUCAUGGUAUGUGUAAGUAGCCCUUUUCUCUGUGUGGUGUUUAGGGAUGACAAAUCCCAUUUAAUUAGUUAACUUGUCAAACUUACUUUAACCAGCUAACCAAUUAAAUGGGUGGGUGGGGGCUGGAGCACCCCCUGCCUUUGGUGUGUACUGCUGAGCUGGAGCAGCCUGCAGCAGGCCCCACCUGUUAAAUCAUAACUGGUAAGCCACACCAAUUAAGGUGAAGUUACCGGUUAACCUUUUACAUCCAUACUGGUGUUGCUGAGGGAAUUGCUAGUGAAGCUGAAGUUGGGAGAUAGGAAGGAGCAAUAAUGGUCACUGUUCAUCUCCUUGGUCAGAUAUCUUGUUCCCCCACCAGCAACUGCCUCUCUAAGUGGAUUCCCCCCGCCCCGCCUAUGAACUAGUGGCUUGUUUUUCUGCAAGCCCCAGAGUGUGCCUACACAAAGGGAAUUUUUCUGUCAAUGUACCAAUACCACCUCAAUUAAUUACUUUUAUGUUGACAUAGGUGCAUCUACACUUGGUGUAUUAUUGAUGUAGCUAUGUCAGUCCUGCAUGUGUCUGGUUUCUUUCCACACCCCUGACGUAACUGAGUCAAAAUAAAAAAGUAUAGAUCAAGUACCAAAUAUCAGAGAACCCACCUCACCCCAUUUAAUCCGUGAGUCCCUUACACUUAACAUUGAACCAGUUAACUAAUUAAGCAGGAUUUUACAGCCUUAUUUCCUGCUUUGAGUAGGUAAAAGUUGCUCACGCUGUGGUUCCACACCUAAGAAAUAGAAAUUUCUAUGGGUGAGGGAGCACAAAAUACUGUAAAAGGUGAAAAUGAAAUACCUGGAACUAUGGAAAUAAAAUUGUCAACCUUAGAGUUAGAGCCCCCAAAUUUUAAAUGUGAUUAGAGAGUAAUUAACUUUAUUUUCUCCAACUUUCGAACUUGAUUGAGAAUGUAGAGCAAGAUGAACAUGGUAAAUUAUUUUUAAUGUAUUAGGUUUUUGCCUACUGUCCAAUGAUUAAAACUUUUCACUGCUGUUCACAUCAUGACUCACUGUGAUUAGUAUUUGACUGGAUGAGGACAAGAGGUAAAAAAUUCAAAACGAGAUUUUUAAAAGCAUGUAAAAGUAAUUGCAUAUUAGGAGAUACAGAAUUGUAUUUUAUGUAAUUUAUUUUGUUUGCAUACCCAACAAAAGAACUUGUACUUUUCCUCCCUGGGAAAUUAUUGCUCUUCAAAUUAUGAAAGGUAAACUGAGACCAUUCUGACUACACUUGUUGCCAUGUGGGUAAAUUUUAACACUUUGUUAAUGUCUUAAGUUUGCUGAUUCAGUUUGUGCCUAGGUAUAAGUAUCUUAGAACAGUGCUCUAGAGUAUCUCAGUGCAACUUGGAUCUGACCUUAUUUCUGAUUCUAAAUUCCUGUGACUCUUGUUAGAUCUAUCAUGUUUCUUAGUUGUCUAAUUUCUUUUCUCUCAAUGUUAUUAAUAUUUUAACAUGAUAAUUUUGUUAGAUAUAAUGUCUUGAAAAUGACAGUGGGCUAAUUUAAAAUCUGAACCAGACAAUAAUGAGCAUGCUUUCUGAAAUAUAUCUGUAAACAUUUCAUCAGUCUGUCUUAAGAUAUAAAAUAUUGUUUAAACACUUCUGGGUGGACCUCCUAGUUGUGGUUGUAAGGGCUGAGGGCUUUACUGUUCCAUUACUGAGCUUGGUAACUUGGAGAGACAAGAUGAGUGAUAAACUUUUAGAUGAAUUACUGUUGCAGAAAGACAAUCUUUCAGGCUUAUAACAGAGUGGCUUUUCAAGUCUGGGGAACUUAAGCCCUCAACUUCAGUAAAUCUUCCUAUUAAGAGAAGACUCUUACAAAUGUAGAGAAGGAGAUGUUGAUUUUCGUUAAAUAAUACCUAUAUCUAUAUUGCCAAAGAUCUAAUUUUUUUUUUACUUUUCAGGUAAUUGUGAAAAUUUUCUGUUCCAUCUGAAUUUCUAUUUUAAGCUCUAGUGAAGAUGGUUGAAAAUUGAAUUAACCUCCACAGUGGAAAAGGAAAGCAAUGAGUACCUGACUGAUUUUGGAAUGUUUUUAGUGGAAAAGGUAGUGAUCAAGACAAGAAAUUAGUCUCUUAAAGUACUUGUUUCAACAGCAACUUGUGAAUCUUGUGGGAGCUUGCUUUUUUUCGGAUACUGUUAUAAAUGCUCUUCAGUUUUAUUAAUAAACAUGAUACACUGCCCUUGAGUUUUUAAA